GAUGAACGCUAGCGGCAGGCUUAACACAUGCAAGUCGAGGGGUAUAGGUUUUCGGACCUAGAGACCGGCGCACGGGUGCGUAAUGCGUAUGCAAUCUACCUUUUACAGAGGGAUAGCCAAGAGAAAUGUGGAUUAAUACCUCAUAGUAUUAUUGAAUGGCAUCAUUUAAUAAUUAAAGUUCCAACGGUAAAAGAUGAGCAUGCGUCCCAUUAGCAAGAUGGUAAGGUAACGGCUUACCAUGGCGACGAUGGGUAGGGGUCCUGAGAGGGAGAUCCCCCACACUGGUACUGAGACACGGACCAGACUCCUACGGGAGGCAGCAGUGAGGAAUAUUGGUCAAUGGGCGCAAGCCUGAACCAGCCAUGCCGCGUGCAGGAUGACGGUCCUAUGGAUUGUAAACUGCUUUUGUACGGGAAGAAACAGUUCUACGUGUAGAACCUUGACGGUACCGUAAGAAUAAGGAUCGGCUAACUCCGUGCCAGCAGCCGCCGUAAAAC
rnacentral:rRNA from 1 species